rnacentral:piRNA from 1 species
UGCAGAGGACAGGUACCCAGAGGUGU